rnacentral:siRNA from 1 species
GUUGAUCGAAUGGUUCAAAGAGGC